AGCGAACGCUGGCGGCAGGCCUAACACAUGCAAGUCGAACGAACUCUUCGGAGUUAGUGGCGGACGGGUGAGUAACACGUGGGAACGUGCCUUUUGGUUCGGAAUAACUCAGGGAAACUUGUGCUAAUACCGAAUGUGCCCCUCGGGGGAAAGAUUUAUCGCCAUUAGAGCGGCCCGCGUCUGAUUAGCUAGUUGGUGAGGUAACGGCGCACCAAGGCGACGCUCAGUAGCUGGUCUGAGAGGAUGACCAGCCACACUGGGACUGAGACACGGCGCAGACUCCUACGGGAGGCAGCAGUGGGGAAUCUUGCGCAAUGGGGGAAAGCCUGACGCAGCCAUGCCGCGUGAAUGAUGAAGGUCUGAGGAUUGUAAAAUUCUUUCACCGGGGACGAUAAUGACGGUACCCGGAGAAGAAGCCCCGGCUAACUUCGUG
rnacentral:rRNA from 1 species